rnacentral:rRNA from 1 species
GAUGAACGCUGGCGGCGUGCUUAACACAUGCAAGUCGAACGAAGCACCUCGCCCGAUGAUUGACACAGCUUGCUGGAGAUCGAUUCAUUUAAGGGGACUGAGUGUCGCACGGGUGAGUAACUCGUGGGUAACCUGCCUCGUAGAUGGGGACAACAGUUUGAAACGACUGCUAAUACCGCAUAGUGAGAAGAAUUCGCAUGUUUUCUUCUUGAAAGAUUUAUCGCUAUGAGAUGGACCCGCGUCUGAUUAGCUAGUUGGUAAGGUAACGGCUUACCAAGGCGACGAUCAGUAGCCGGCUUGAGAGAGUGAACGGACACAUUGGGACUGAGACACGGCACAAACUCCUACGGGAGGCAGCAGUGGGGAAUAUUGCACAAUGGGGGAAACCAUGAUGCAGCGACGCCGCGUGAGUGAAGAAGUAUUUCGGUAUGUAAAGCUCUAUCAGCAGGGAAGAUAAUGACGGUACCUGACUAAGAAGCCCCGGCUAACUACGUG